AAAGGAAAGAAUAGAAAAGGUACUGAACUCCAGGUCCAAGUCAAUCACCUUUGCUUUUCUCAGACUGUCAUUGACAUUUACACCAGCAUUAUCCUCAUCGUUUCAUCACUGCAGCCACCCCAACCAAUCUGCCUCCUCUGUAUUAUCAUACAGGAGAAAGGAAAGAAUAGAAAUGGUACUGAACUCCAGGUCCAAGUCAAUCAUCUUUGCUUCUCUCAGACUGUCAUUGACAUUUACCCCAGCAUUAUCCUCAUCACUUCAUCACUGCUGCCACCCCAACCAAUCUGCCUCUUCUGUGAAAAUUUCCUGAUGGGUGUCAGAAUCCUGUCCCUGAAAUCCAGUCUACCAGCUAAGGCCUUGUUUCGCCAUGGACACCUGCACCACCCGUCCCUAGGACCUGCAUGUUCAUGGAGACACUGGUAUCAUGUCAUGGAUCUCCACUCUCAGUCCAGUCCUCUGAAACACAUGCCAAGGAGUUCCUAUAUGAAAUGAAUGACUGGUCAGGGGCCAUCAUGAUUAUACUCAACAACCAUGAUUGUACUCAACAAAUUUUCUCUGAGUAAAUGCCUGUGGGCGAAAGCCCAGGGCGUAAACCUUGGAACCUGAGUCAGCUUCUGAGGGGGAAGAGUGGCUCCCUCUCCAGUCAGGCCUGGCUCUGUCCUGUGCAUUCUCACCAGCAGCCAGCAGUCACAUUAUCCAAAUGAAGCAGUCUUUUAACUUAAUAACUCAAUAAAAGGGGGAAACUCAGUUUUUGUCUAAAUGAAAGAAAACUGAGGACAAUGUAGGUGCCAUUUCCUGACUUUAUGUAAAUAUAAGUUAAAUUCUACACUGCAUUUAGUAAUGAAUAAGCUUUGUUUGCAGCUAUAGAAGUCAUGAUUGUUUUUUUUUUUUUUUUUAAUUUAAUUUUUUUUUUUUGAGACAGAGUCUCGCUCUGUCGCCCAGGCUGGAGUGCAGUGGCCAGAUCUCAGCUCACUGCAAGCUCCGCCUCCCAGGUUCACGCCAUUCUCCUGCCUCAGCCUCCCGAGUAGCUGGGACUACAGGUGCCUGCCACCUCGCCCGGCUAGUUUUAUUUUGUAUUUUUUAGUAGAGACGGGGUUUCACUGUAUUAGCCAGGAUAGUCUCGAUCUCCUGACCUCGUGAUCCGCCCAUCUCGGCCUCCCAAAGUGCUGGGAUUACAGGCUUGAGCCACCGCGCCCGGCCCAUGAUUGUUAAAUAUGGUCAAGAUAAACCAUUUACUUUAGCUCUUUUUAUUUGACAUGACACUGAUAAGAUACGAAUUUGAAAACCACGUAAAAAAUCAGGAAAUACUAAAAUACUGAUUAUGUAAGGUUAAAAUUUUAUUCAUAUAGGGAUACUUUUUCCAGCAAAAUAAAUUUUUUAAUUUAAAAAUCUGAGUUUUUUGUUUAUCCAAUUGUCAAAAUCAGAUUUAUCAGCUAGCAUAAAUCAUAAUUCCUAUAACAGUUUCAUAAAGUAGGCUAGGUUUACAAACACAGUCUAUAGGGUGCUUUUUCUUGUAUUCCGUUCAUUUUAAUUUUUAACUGAUGUUUAUUAUUUAAUAAUGUUAUUCUUUAUUUGUUAUUAUUGACACCUUUGAGUUUAAGUAUUCUGUAGUCUAGACAGGAUACACUUAUUGAUACUGUAAAUAAUAGAUAAAGGAUUAGUGUACAAUUUGCUGUUAAUGUAAUUGAUGGAUUUGAUUCUCCACUGCAUUACUUCUCUGUUCUUACUUUAAUGCCAAUGGUCUUGAUCAUUGGACAAUGCCUAUAAUGCCUGCAUAAAAAUGAAUGUGGUUCUUCAUAUUUCUUAAAUUUGUUUUUUUUUUCUCAUCGUUUCAUAAAAAUGGUGUUACAAAUAGAAUGGCACAAAAUGAAGCUUGAAAUCAGGAUGUGUUUUGCUGUUUUACUAACUUGCUAUACACAAUUUAUUUUUCAGAGGUGGAAUAUUGGGGUUAUUUAAUGGAAGGUGUGAAGUUAGAGAAAUGAGAAUAGAAGUAGCUUUUCAUGUCUGGGUUUACUGAAGUGAGGCAGAAUGACAAAGUGGACCUUGUCUCUCCUCCUGUGCAAUUCACAGAGCUUAUAGGAGGUGACUAUAAGGCCGAGGCUGAGAUUUCAGGUGGACCUCUGAAAGGGUGAAAAGGCAUUCUGCCCAGCAAGCAACUGUCCAUGUAUCAACCUUAGUCAUAUUAAUAUUAAAAGAAAUCGAGCGUAUGCUUGAAAACAGCCUUGCUUUAUUUCUGUCGAGAACAAGACACAAAGAAUAAGCUUAACUGCAGAUAUUUUACAUAUCUGUAUAUGAAUUUUUAAUUGCAAUGUGAAUGGGAUUAAAAUUAGAAAAAAUAUAUCACUGAUUACAGGUUAUAAAGUAUUAAGCAUACUCAGUUUCUAGAUCUUGGUUUGUAAUACUAUUCUCCAAUACAAAGCAUCAGACUCCUUGGAGAAAUGGCUGAUUCUACGAAUGGGGCAGAAAAUAUACAAGACAAAUCUGGAGCAUCGCGUAGUGUCAUAAAAUAAGGAAAUGCUAAAAACAAAACAAAAAUGGGGUAUGGCAACAUAGAAGCCAACAGAAAGAGAUCCCAAUGGCCACAGCUGGGGUAAUGGGAGCAAGAAGAUAAAUAGUGCAGUAUUACAUUAUAUCCCAAUGUAUGAAACAAAUAUCCAUGAGUUAUCAUGUAAAAAAGAAUUCCAAAUAAUUUGUAUAGCUAUCUCCUCAAAGAUGUGGAGAAUAACUCCCCCGCAACAACCUCCAUAAGUAUGAGCUGCACGUAGUGACUUCCUUCUAAAGAACACAGCAUGGAUGCAAGGGGAAAGAGCAACUCACAGUGGAAAAGAACUCUGCUUCAGCCACAUAAUCGCAUUUGACAUCAUCUGUGACAGGUCAUGUUGACAGCAUGAACUUUCGAUGUGAUGUGAGGAAAAUGGCAUUCUACCUCUGUGUUCUUCCUCCCCAAAAUUUGUAACCACCAUCUAAUCAUGAGGAAAACAUCAUACAAGUCCGAAUUGAGGAAAAUUCUACAAAAUGCCUGAUUACUAUUCAUCAAAACUGUCAAGGUCAUCAAAAAGCAAGGAAAGUCUGAGAAACUGCCACAGCCUAAAGACAGUCCAGGGAAACAUGAUGACUCAGUGGUUUUCUGGGUGGGUUUCUGGAACAGAAAAAGGACAACAGGUAAAGUCUAAGACCAUAUGAAUAAAGUAUGAACUUUAAUUAAUAAUGAUGUGUCAAUAUUGAUUCAUUAGUAUGACAAAAGUACCAUAGUAACAGAAGAUGUUAACAAUUAGAGAAACUGGGUGCAGGGUUUAUGGGAACCCUCUGUACUAUCUUUGCAACUUCUCUAUAAAUCUAAGACUAUUCUAGGAUACAAAGUUCAUUUUAAAAUAAAUUUUUUAAAAAUUUAAAAUACUAGACCAAGAUAUCAAAAUAGGUAGAAAUCCUCAGUCAUAGGACUCUAAUAAUCCAAUAUGUAAACUAAGAAUUAUACCUAAAGCUGUUCAAAACAGGAUUAAUUAAAAUAACAUAAAAAGGAAAACUAGGGAAUGGUUAGAAUAAAAUUAUUGUAUAAUUAUAGCCAUUUGAUGAUGUCAACUUUUAAAAAGCAUGGUGUGAUAUGUAUGGUUUGGUUGUGUCCUUACCCAAAUCUCAUAUUGAAUUGUAGUUUCCAUAAUCCCCAUGUGUCAUGGGAGGGACCCAGUGGGAGGUAAUUGAAUCAUGGGGGUGGUUACCCCCAUGCUGCUCUUCUCAUGAUAGUGAGUUCUCACGAUAUCUGAUGGUUUUAUAAGAGACUUUCCCCCGUUUGCUAGGCACUUCUCCUUCCUGCCAUCAUGUGAAGAAGGGUGUGUUUGCUUCCCCUUCCAGCAUGAUUAUAAGUUUCCUGAGGCCUCCUCAGCCAUGCAGAACUGUGAGUCAGUUAAACCUCUUCCUUUAUAAAUUAUCCAGUAU
ensembl:lncRNA